GACGAACGCUGGCGGCGUGCCUAAUACAUGCAAGUCGAACGCAGUGGGGACGAGUGAGGAACACGUGGGUAAUCUCACAUCAGAGGGGAUAACACUUGGAAACAGGUGCUAAACCGAUACUGUUGUAUGGACCCUCGGUGCAUUAGCUAGUUGGUGAGGAAACGGCUCACAAGGGCCACGAUGCCUAGCCGUCCUCUGAGGGUGAUCGUCGACACUGUGACUGGGCAACGGGCCAAACUCCUACGAGAGGCAGCAGUAGGGAAUCUUCGACAAUGGACGAAAUUCUGACCGAGCAACGCCGCGUGAGUGAAGAAGGUUUUCGGAUCGUAAGACUCUGUUGUAAGAGAAGCGGUAUCUAACAAGAAAGCCACGGCUAACUACGUGCCAGCAGCCGCGGUAAUAC
rnacentral:rRNA from 1 species